CUCCUGGACUCUCUGUCUGGAUCCUCUCCUCUGUCUGGACCCCCGGGGCAGUAUUUGUCCAAACACCCUGGAGAGGACACAGAAAAGACAGGCAACCACCGCACUCGUCAAUGAGGAGCAGCUGUGCAGAGCCCAGAACAAAAGGCUACAUGCAAAUCUCUAAAAAUACUCAAUAAAUACAAUUAAAACUUC